UCUAUAAGCCACUUAAAAAUUACCCUCUAACCGAAGAGUGUUAGAUAGCGUCGAAGGACAAGAAGACCCUAUAGAGCUUAAUUUAAAUAAAUAUAAAAAAAUUUACUAAGAUUCGGUUGGGGCGACCAGGGAAUUACUCAUCAUCCCUAAACAAAAGAUAAAUAUAUCAAAAUACUGACCCUUCUACAAGAUCACUAAAACAAGCUACCUUAGGGAUAACAGGCUAAUCUCACUAGAGAGUCCUUAUCAAUAGUGGGGAUUGGCACCUCGAUGUUGGCUUAGGGAAUCUCUAUGACGCAAAAGUCAUAUAAAGAUGGUUUGUUCAACCAAUAACACCCUACAUGAGCUGAGUUCAGACCGGCGUAAGCCAGGUUAGUUUCUAUCCUCGAUCACUCUAUCUAUUUAUAGUACGAAAGGACCUAACUAGAGUAAUAUUUACACACAAAGAAUAAAUAUAAACCAGAAAUAAGUAAAAUAAAUCAUAAACUAUGAGUAAGUUGGCAGAAUAGUGCCACC
rnacentral:rRNA from 1 species